rnacentral:rRNA from 1 species
AGUGAACGCUGGCGGUAGGCCUAACACAUGCAAGUCGAACGGCAGCACAGGAGAGCUUGCUCUCUGGGUGGCGAGUGGCGGACGGGUGAGGAAUACAUCGGAAUCUACUCUGUCGUGGGGGAUAACGUAGGGAAACUUACGCUAAUACCGCAUACGACCUACGGGUGAAAGCAGGGGAUCUUCGGACCUUGCGCGGUUGAAUGAGCCGAUGUCGGAUUAGCUAGUUGGCGGGGUAAAGGCCCACCAAGGCGACGAUCCGUAGCUGGUCUGAGAGGAUGAUCAGCCACACUGGAACUGAGACACGGUCCAGACUCCUACGGGAGGCAGCAGUGGGGAAUAUUGGACAAUGGGCGCAAGCCUGAUCCAGCCAUACCGCGUGGGUGAAGAAGGCCUUCGGGUUGUAAAGCCCUUUUGUUGGGAAAGAAAUCCAGCUGGUUAAUACCCGGUUGGGAUGACGGUACCCAAAGAAUAAGCACCGGCUAACUUCGUGCCAGCCGCCGCGGUAA